GGUGUUGUGCCAGACAAAUUGGGUUAUCUUGAUGAGGUAAAUCAUGGGCUAAUAGCCUCGACACUU
rnacentral:tRNA from 1 species